AUUGAACGCUGGCGGCAUGCUUUACACAUGCAAGUCGAACGGCAGCACGGACUUCGGUCUGGUGGCGAGUGGCGAACGGGUGAGUAAUACAUCGGAACGUGCCCAGUUGUGGGGGAUAACUACUCGAAAGAGUAGCUAAUACCGCAUGAGAACUGAGGUUGAAAGCAGGGGAUCGUAAGACCUUGCGCAACUGGAGCGGCCGAUGGCAGAUUAGGUAGUUGGUGGGAUAAAAGCUUACCAAGCCGACGAUCUGUAGCUGGUCUGAGAGGACGACAGCCACACUGGGACUGAGACACGGCCCAGACUCCUACGGGAGGCAGCAGUGGGGAAUUUUGGACAAUGGGCGAAAGCCUGAUCCAGCAAUGCCGCGUGCAGGAUGAAGGCCUUCGGGUUGUAAACUGCUUUUGUACGGAACGAAAAGCUUCGGGUUAAUACCCUGGAGUCAUGACGGUACCGUAAGAAUAAGCACCGGCUAACUACGUGCCAGCCGCCGCAGUAAAAC
rnacentral:rRNA from 1 species